rnacentral:lncRNA from 1 species
UCAUCAAUUACAUAUAUUAUAACUCAAUUACAUCAAAUCACAUCAUCAACCUAACAAGUAGACUUAUAUUGUACAACCUGAAUGAUAACUCACUAACUACGAGAGGAACGUAACCUAAAAAUGUCUCCCUUAAAUACCUCUCAAAAAUCAAUGAAGAUACGAACAACCAACACACCUUUCAAGAUCUCCUCUUCUCUCCAGAAGCUGUAUAACGACUCUAAGCUCUUCCCUCUUCCAGAACACCACUUACAACUCUCGAUUUUUUGAAUGAACGGUGUCUCGAACCUCCAUCACUUUCUUG